GCUUGCUACAGCUCUUCCUCCCGGUUUUCCCGGGACAGGACUCUAUUGCUUCCAACACUUAACGCUGCAGAGGAGUCUGAAGGAUUACCCAUGGAUGAAAGAAGUUUAAAGUUGAGAUUUGUUCUACAAAAUGGCAUUCCUUCUGUUUGAGUUUUGCUAGCUUCUCGCCUCUUGGUGGCAAGAUGGCCACCAGCAGCUUCAGAGUUCUCUCUUCAUCGGAGCAACCUCAAUAGAUACCAUGUGCUGCUCUCCAACAUAAAACACACUUGGUUUUAGAGAAGAAUUGGGCUGAGAUUCUUCCCGGAACUCUUUGAAACAACAACACUGGCUGCAGUCAUUACCAGUGGGAGGUUGUUCGCAGGGCAUGCACAGAAACCUGCGGACGGUGGGUUAGGCUCUUGCAAGACUUCCCUGAAAGAUCGGACCUGAUCACUGACAACACUUGUCUGCAUUUUCCCUUGACAAGAAAGUCCACUGCAUGAUGAAGCUGGUUCUCCAAGGCAGACUAGAUAUAGAAAGGUUCCUGGAAGAGAGAGCUUAGGAGCUGCAACUUGAAAGAUACGUCAGAGAUCUCAUUGUGUUUGCCCUCCGGCCAUCCAUUCUCCCUUCUGCUGCUGCCAGCAUCUCAAUUUGCCUUGAAGAAUCGUCCUUCUGUUGGUCUCAGACAAUGUGGAUCUGGUGCCCAGCUCCUUCCUGUACACACCAGCUUGAGCAGUUGACAGCUGACUCAAGAUGACAGCUGUGCCAUCCCCGACCCUUGUGACCGGUUCAGGAGUGUGCAUUUUAAAUAGGUCAGUCUACUAUGGAGCAAUCCCACACAUUUUUCUAGAAAUCGGAAAAGGGAAAUUCUCUUGUCUUAGGGACUGUGCAGUAAGGCUUCCAGGGCGGACUCCCCAAGAGUGUGGUCAAGUAGAAAAAGUAGAACCAGGAGAUGGAGCGAGGGCAGGGUCUGAUUAGAGCUGGGGAAAGGCUCCAGGUGGUUCGUCUGAUGAGACAGUUUCUAAGUAAUGAGGACAGUUCAUAGGUAAUGAGGAAGUAUCCUCCAGCUAAGCUGUAGCCCCAAGCAAGCUAUCUGGUUCCCAAAAGCAUGGCAGACUAAUACCUCCUUCCAGAGUGUUCCCGAGGAAUACUAGACAGUAUUCACUGAAGAAAGCAUCACACUGAGAGACUUCCAUCCCAAAGGUGCAGUAAUGGCAGAUUUGGCAAAAAUAAUUGGAAAACAGUGUCAUGGCAUCUCAAAUUAUUCCACAUCUCUCCAUCUCUAUCACCAUCACAGGCAUUCAGGCCAUUGUUGCCUUGCCCUGAAAGUCUAAAACAGUCCUCAGUUUUCAUCCAUAUCCUCCUGUCUGCCAUUUUCCACAGUGCAUCCAGAAUCAUCUUUUUAAAAUACACAUACUGUUAAGUCCCUUUCCUGCUUAAAAUCCUCUAACGACUUCUCAUUAAAAUGAGAGUAAAAUCCAAAUUCCUUAUCAAGGCCUGUUUGGCCCUAAAAGACUUGUCCCAAAUCUCCUCCUCUAUCUCAUCUCAUGUGACUAAAAUUCAGCUACAGUGGCCUUUAUUUUGUUUCCAAACACAUCAAGCUCCUUCUGACCCUAUGGCUUUGUUCUUAUGGUCCCUGUCACCUGGAAUAUACUCUUUCAUACUUUUCUUAUAGCUGAAUUCUCAACCUUCUGUCCCAGCUAAAAUGUCACCUCCUCAAAUAGUUCUUCUCUUGCCACCUUAUGUUCUCCACCUCAAUCAGUUUUUAACCUAGGCAACCCUGAUAAAUUACUCAUGACAUUCAAACAUGUAUCUACAGCGGCUCCAAAUAACUGAAAGUCAGCUACGCAAGGGCAGGGAUCUUGUCCAUCCUUGUCCACAGCAGUGUUUUGAGCUCCUGGAAUGAGCGCCAUGUUCCGUAUUCCGUUAGUAUUUGUUAGAUAAGUGGCUGGAUGGAUAAAUGGUGAUUGUCCAAGGCAAUGUAGUUCCUAGAUGCUAUGGAAAGCUGCCAACCUCAACCAGAAGCUGUUUAGGAAAUUUUGAAAUCAAAGAAUCUCCGGCUCUUAGAGCCACAGAGUCCUUGGCAAGAGACAGCUUUCUCAGCACAGACUACCACCAAGUAUAGAAGCAGACAAUUCAGAUGAGAGCCAGCUUCUUCCAUUGCAAUGAGAUUAAAUCUGCUAGUAGGGUCAAGUGCAAGGUACCUUAGUUUCUCCCGUCUGCUUGCAUUGAGAUGAUGACUAACUUUCAAAUUGCUGUGUUGUGCAACCUGUCUUAUUCUACUUCACAUGGGAUGGGUCACAUACUGGUGGUAUGAGACAGUUUGAGGGAGGUACAUCUCACACAUGAGUAUGAAGCCCAGUCAUCACACUUAUAAACUCUAGAGGGAUCAACCUAUUGUAUUUUGGAAGGAAGGGAAUAAUUUUGGGAAUCAGUAAAAACCGAGCAUGUGCUUCAA